rnacentral:rRNA from 1 species
UACGUAGGGUGCAAGCGUUAAUCGGAAUUACUGGGCGUAAAGCGUGCGCAGGCGGUUUUGUAAGUCUGUCGUGAAAUCCCCGGGCUCAACCUGGGAAUUGCGAUGGAGACUGCAAGGCUAGAAUCUGGCAGAGGGGGGGUAGAAUUCCACGUGUAGCAGUGAAAAUGCGUAGAGAUGUGGAGGAACACCGAUGGCGAAGGCAGCCCCCUGGGUCAAGAUUGACGCUCAUGCACGAAAGCUGGGGAGCAAACAGG